UGAAUUGUAUGUGACUGUCUGAUGCCGGGGAGCAGCAAGGAGCUUUUGGUGAUUGGAGUGCGGUUUAAGUGACUGGCACUGGUGGUUACUGCUGGCCCCAGGGAGUGUGAGGCUAGCAGGAUGACCCAGAUUUCCCAAACCAGGCCAGGGCUCUUUCCAGUGAACCAAGGAUGAUGUGAAGAUGCAGGAGGUGGCAGAGGAAGAUCUCAGGAUAUCACUUAGGAAGACUAGACAGCACUUCAGCACUACACUUCGAGGGCAUUUUAAACAGUGAAAUCAUCAACAAAAAGCACAAAAAUGCAUAAGUGUGGCACCAAAUAGACUGCAAGAAGGACACUUGUUUACGGUUUGAGAGCUGAAACCAGGAGACAGAGUGUUAUCUUAUUUGACUCAAAUUUUUCACCACUCUGAGCAGGUCCGUGAAUGGCCACAAAACUGCUGCGAGAUUUCAUUUUGGGGCUACAAAGGAAUUUUUGCAAGUAGAUGAAUUGGCAAACAUGGAGUCUGUGAAUGAUGAGGAUGGACUGUGUAUGUUGCAUUUGUGGAGAGGACAACUUCAUUGCAGAGGAUGUGUAAAGGGAGCACAGUGCCUAAAGUCUUCAUUAAGGUGUAGGGGACUGAUGUAUCCCCUCCCG
rnacentral:lncRNA from 10 species